GGAGGAGGUGCUCAGGAAGCAGAAGUACACAGAGAACGAGGCCAAGGCCAGAUUCAGUCAGGAGGCAUCACGACUCACUGCAGAGAACAUGGACUUUGAAGAGCAGCUCGACAUGAAGGACAGGUUGAUAUAAGGAAGCUACGAAACCAAAUCAAGAGCCUUCAAACAUCCGAGGAAGCCAAUCAAACACCAGCGCCCACUAUUACCAACGAAUACCUUGGCAUGUUGGAGUACAAGAGGGAGGAUGAAGCCAAGCUCAUUCAAUACGUCAUUCUGGACCUGAAGCCCAGA